UUAUGUACUUAGUUUGAUAACCAAGUGAAGUUGGUGACAUAUAAAAUGCAUAUGUGCAUCAAUAGAAUAUCCAUGUGUUACAUGAAAUGAUCAUGCAUUGUUUAAAUUACUUCUUAGAGUAAAAUAAAAUAUAUGGAUGAAAUGAUCUUGUUGAGCACAAUCCGUCAAGGUGAUCCUUGGUGAACAUGGGAUGUAAACCUUCAAUAUAGUACAUGCGAUGAAAUCGUUGCUAAUGUUUUGGGCUUUAUUUGUGAUAAAAAGUGUGACUUUAGAGUCAGGGCCAAAAACAUAGACUUUGCAAUUUUAACAUUGCUUUGUCACUAUGAAAAUAACAACCACAAUGUGAUGUCGAUCUUCCAAUAGUGUUUGAGACACUCGCUAUAAAUUAUGGCAUCCAUCUUGGAUGACACUAUAAUUAGAAAUAGUGACGUAGGCUCCAUUGCCAUGCAUUUUACGAAUGUAGUAGAAGGUAAUCACAGGUAUAUGCACAUAUUUUCAUAGUUUCCUAUGACAUAUUCAAGCAAAAUGUGCAAGAACAAUAUUUACUUGCGUAGAAGUCGUUCGCCUUCGGCCAUUAUUGCUUGAAUACCAGACGUCCAGACCUGUUGUGAAAUCGCUCCACUGGAG
rnacentral:lncRNA from 1 species